rnacentral:misc_RNA from 1 species
GAUGAAGAACGUAGCGAAAUGCGAUAAGUAAUGUGAAUUGCAGAAUUCAGUGAAUCAUCGAAUCUUUGAACGCAUAUUGCGCCUUUUGGUAUUCCGGAAGGCAUGCUUGUUUGAGUAUCAGAAAUCUCCUCAGCUCCUAUGGCUGGAAUUGAGCAAAUUCCCUUAAUCUUUUGAUGCGGGGAUGCUUGAAAUGCAGAAUUCAAAACCACAAAAUGACGGUUAUGCUACAAGCAAUUUCAUACUUUAUCCCGUCAAACGGAUAAUCUCCUUUUUUGCUUGGUGUUGCUGAUCGACGAUACGUUGGCUUUGAUUGAUGCAGACAGUGUUUUUUUCUUCAUUGAACAAAACACUACAGAACUCGAUCUCAAAUCAAGUAAGACUACCCGCUGAACUUAAGCAUAUCAAUAAGCGGAGGA